rnacentral:tRNA from 1 species
AAUAUGGUAGGAUAAUGAAAAGUCUUUAAGAUUCAUGCUUUUAAGGUUAGCUGUAUUU